AGGAAGUGCCAUGCUCCCACAGCCAGGUAAAUGUUCUGUGACCAUCUUUAUAAUGAAUCAGGACAAAGAUCCAAAGAACUGAAGAGUUUCUGUGAGGUUACCUUUCAGUGAAGCCUUCCAGCAGAGAAAUGACAUGUCACUACAGUAUCACACUUCAGUCUUCCGGCCUCACCUGUGUCCAUCUCAUCCACACUGUUCAGGAAGUCAUCUGGAGUGCGAGGGACGCUGUAGCUGCUCAUACUCAGGCCGCUGUCUGUGCUCUCAUCCCUGGAGUGGAUCUGCAUCUACUGCAAGAAACACAUCAAGGAGAGAGCUGGAUUAAGAUACCCUAAGAGCUAACACCGGACACGAACGCCACAUUGGAAGGAUUUCACCUGCUGUGGGCGGACAGGAUACAGGAGAGCAAGACUGAACUAAC